GCGCCCGUAGCUCAGUUGGAUAGAGCGGCUGCCUUCUAAGCAGCGGGUCGCAGGUUCGAAUCCUGCCGGGCGUGCCA
rnacentral:tRNA from 2 species